AGGCAAGAAGGUCCUAUUUUCUAGGUUAAGGCAGAAUGGGCUUGGAGGGAUAGAAAAGAGUAUACUUAAAAAUGUGUCCAAUAUGGGGAGAAGGCUCAUCUAUAGGAAGAAAUACCAUGGAAUAGAUACCUACAUCUCUGCCCAUCACACAUAUGCCAGAGCCUCUGAUAAUGGGCUAAUCUGAUGGAAUCUUUGAAAUUACAUCACAAAGACAGGAUUUCUUAAAGACAGGGAAACAAAUUCCAGAGAGGAAACACAAAGGCACAAACAAGAUUGGGCGGAAGUGAGGAAUAGAGCUUCCAUCUUUUGAUUCUCUAUCUCCUUACACAGUUGGCUCCUAAUGGAAAAUUUUGGGCCAGAGAAACAGACUUCCUCAGGACACCUACACAUGGGAUAUCAUGUUUCUUUAACAUUUGAAGAGCUAGAUAAUGAUUAAAAACCAAAAAACAAAACAAAACAUUUCUAGGGACUUGGAAUAAGAUUGAGAAUAGAGAUUAGAAAACUAACAUUCAAUUUUACACACCUUUGUGUCACUUUUAAAACUUGGGCAUGUAUUACUAUUGAGAAAGAAAGAAAAGAAACAAAGAAAAGAAAGAAGGAAGGAAAGAAAUGAAAAGAAGAAAAGAAAAGAAAGAAAGAAAAAAGACUAGGAUAGAGAAUGAAGCAGACAGAUACGGUUCAAAAGAAACCAUGGUUUGAAAUUCAAGUUUGGAGAUAUUUGAAGUGGCUUUUUCUACCGUUAUCUUCUUUCACAUCUCUAGAUGCCGUUGGUUAAUUCUUUGUGUUCUCUUUGGGGUGGUUUACUUUUACAUGACUCAAGCAAAAUCAACUGGCACAAAGUAAUUUUUGAAUCUGCAGCUGUAGCUUGAAAAACCUAUGUUUUCCCUACUCCUAUAAGCAACAGGCCGGUGAGAAUGAUUGGUGAUUUUGUUUCAAGAGAAUUCAAGUUCUCCCUU